GGCACGCCCCUUCCAGUGGGAUGAGCAGGGUAAGUGAUUGUUUUUGAUUAUCUGUUUGAAAGUCUGUUUGAUGCUAUCUGCAAUAAACAGAGGCCAAGAUUUGAAAUUAAUUAAAGUGGUUAUGUGUUGAAGAAUGUACACUUUUGCGGCAGUUUGUGUUCAUGAUUUUCUCUCAUGAGCUUAAUGAUGAUUUAUUUUGAUAAUGUGAUUAGUAGAGGAAAGGGAGAAGGGAUUGAUUUCAUGGCCAUGGCUGUAGUAUAAGAUAUGCUAUGGUAUACUGAUUAGAAAUAAAGAUAUCCCACUUUUCAUCCUUAUGUACAUAAGGACGUAGGAGUCUGCAAGAGGCCGGUAGGCCUAUACAAGGCAGUUCCUUUGAGCCUAAGCUCCCGUGUAUCUAACCCCACCUAGUAUCGCUGUCCAUUAAUUUAUCUAAUAUAUUUUUGAAUGUGACAAUUGUAUUGGCACUCACCACAUGACUGCUAAGCCUAUUCCACUCAUCCACCACUCUGUUAGUAAACCAAUUUUUGCCUAUAUCCCUGUUGAAUCUGUACUUAUCCAGUUUCAACCCAUUACUUCGUGUCCUGCCCGUUUCUCUUACCAAAAAAACCUUAUGAAUAUCCCCCUUAUUAAAGCCCUUCAUCCAUUUAUAAACCUCGAUCAUGUCUCCACGCACCCUUCGCCUUUCCAGAGAAUGCAAGUUUAAAUGUUUGAGUCUUUCCUCGUAUGGAGAGUUUCUCAACCCCUGAAUCAUCUUAGUCAUCCUCCUCUGCACCGAUUCUAACAUUUUGAUAUCCAUUCUGUAGUAAGGUAGGAAAGAGAUGGGUUGCUGCUUUAUUGCCAGUGUCCCUACCCACUGCUUAUUAGUGCUAAGGACCAGCUCAUUGUCAGAGGUUGUGUCCCAACCACCUGAAGGAGUUAAAUUUAAUACAACUUUGAGUGACAGGCUCUCUCUAGCACAGGUGCAGGGUUCAUGGAAGCAAAGAUGAGUGUCAAAGCAAGUUGCAGCUGUGGUUUAAAAUCUGUUGUCAUUGUCGUGGAGUGGCCUUGUAUGGAAGCUUCUCUUGCAUUUCUCAUACUGGGAUUAUUAUGCAUUUAUAAACAUAUCAGAAGUUGUACAGAGUGGACCAUGAUGGGAAGCCUCGGCAGCUCGUGGUGAGGUCUUUUGAGGAGGUUGCUGCUGUGAUCACAGCAGUCCCACUGCAGGGCAUAGCGGCUGGGUUACCACUUGUCAGAAUGUCUCCUCAGUUUACUAUUGGCGAAACAUGACCCAGGACAUGAAACAUUAUAUUGAAACAUGUAGUAAGUGCCAGCACUACACGCCAAUGAAGACAAAGGCCCCAGAGAUGCGUCCCAUAAAGGUGAAGGAGCCGUUGGAACUUAUAGGAGUCGACUUGGUCGGUGGGGCAAGCCUGCAAGGAUCCUGACUGAUCACGGACGUGAGUUUUGUUCCUCGAUCAACGACGAACUCUGCAAGUUCUACGGGAUCCGGAGGAGUAUCACGUCUGCCUACCAUCCGCAGACUAAUGGACUGGCAGAGAGAAUUAACCAGACUCUGGAGACCAGGCUUUCCAAGCUCUGCAACGCGACCAAGACCGACUGGCCAAACUUCCUGGAUGAAGUCGCCUAUAGCAUCCGUACCCAAAAGCAGCGGACCACCGGGUUCACACCUUUCCGGUUGAUGUUUGCUCGUGAGCACCGGCCACUUCACCAGGAAGAAAUUACAUUUGCUCCUGAGGCUUCUGCACAACCAGAGGGAAGGAGUACCACACCAGAAGUAAGUAGAAAGUAGAUUCAUAUGUAAUGUGCAAAUUCUGGAAGAAAAGUGUAUAUCUCACAAGAAUUGAAGAAUAUGUCUAGUACCUCUCAAGUAAUCUUCUUUUGCAGUUUCUUUUUGUUACAGUUCUUUGAAGAACUUGUUGAACUGCCCUCUUCCGAGGAUAUUACGGAGUGUGUCAAAGAGCAGGACCAGAGGCGUGAAGAACUGCACUCCAAGCGGGAACAGAGAGUUGAAGCAGCCCAAGAAAAGCAGAAGGCUGAGUACAGGAACAGGAAAGCAAGAGGAGUGAAGACCUUCAGCUUCUCUGUAGGGAUGAAGGUUCUUAAAAGAAACCUUCGCAAUGAGACUCGGAAGGGUGGGAUAAUGGAGCAGAAGUGGACUGGUCCAUACAAAGUCCUUGACAUCGACUCCUCAAACCGUGUGGCACUUGAGGCUGUGAGCAAUGGGAAGAAGCUCAAGAGCCGUACUCCAUACAACAACCUGAGGCCAUUCCUCCAGAGCCAGUUGCACUGUGACAGACACUUAUUGGACCACAGAGAUAGACUGCAGCCCUCCAGCAUUCAGGGACCUGUGCAGCCAUCACCUGACACCUCACAGUGCCUUUGCUGGACCUUCCUCAUCUACAAAUGUUGUUGAUGAUGACCUGUUUCCCUCGAUGAGUACGACAAUAAUCGAGGUGUCAGAGGAGUGAACCAACAGGAGAAGUGCCCCCAUCAUCGGCCUCAUCCUGUGUCCGACGACCCAGUGCCCUUAAACCCCAAAGGUCAACUUCCCUUCCUGCCAGUAGAAGUGGUAGUAGACCAGCAACUCCCACAGCAGCAGGUCACGAGUUACAACUGGUUCCUGAGUUCCUUACUACCCAAAAGGAAAUUCGAGGUCUGCUGAAGGACCUGGUGGAGGAGCAACGGACGAAUGGAAACCAUCUACGGGAUAUCGCCCGAGGUUUUACUGAAAUGGGGAAUUUAGGCAACCAUGUACAGGAUAUUGGCCAAAGUCUUAGGGAAAUAGGCGAGACACUGAUGGCCAUAACGGGGACUAUCAGUUCAAGAAAGUAGUUUUUUUUUUUAAGUUAUUAUUUUCAUAAAUUAAGAUUUGAAUAUUUCUAUAUAAGAAUAUUUUAUAUAAUCAUUUUCAUUAUUAACUUUAAGAUCUUUGAUGGUGUUUGUCAAGCCAAUGCAUACCACAGAGGGGGGAUAUCCAGCACGACAGGAAUCAUUCCAUAUUUUUUUUCUUAGUGCAUUAUGAUAUGCCACUAUAAAAAAAAUUCAGAGAGAACCAUCAUACACUGAACUUUAAUUUUUGCCAAGUUGUGUUAUAUUUUAUAUUUUUUAAAUUCAGCACGUCAUGUUUUCUAUCUUGCCUGUAUAAUGUUCAUGAACAGGACGUUACCUGCCUUGCGUAUAGUCCUAACAUCAUUUACAGAUGCCGGACCACAGGUAUCAUCAUCUUCAGUGUAGGACGGUUCUUUCCUGGCCAUUUUCUAGUGGAACAUCAUGAUGCAUAAAGAGAUAAAAAAUAUCAAAAACAUAUUUUGCAUCUUCAAUGACAUAGUUUCCAACCGUGUAAUUCAGGUAACAUUUUUUUUACUAAAAACAGCCUUACAUAUGCAAUUCAUAAACAGUGUGCCUAAAAAGGUAUAAUUAACCCAGUAGCAGCGACGGGCCAAAUGUGUGCCAUGAUUUAAACCCCCCAAAAUAGAUGAUACAUAAACUGAUCACAAAUGCUUCAAUAUAUAUUAUGAAAUGGUUUGUGUAAGUGAUGAUUUUUUUCUCAAUUUUUUUUCUUGCUUAGAAGUACCAUUAAGAAACAUGAUCCCCACUGCUACCGGGUUAAACUAAACCUCAUGGGACUGACAUUCCUUUCCUGCUGGAUAUCCCCAUUCUGCAGUAUGUAUUUUGAUCUCAUUUAUAGUUCCUUAGUUUCUAAUUAUUUUUUUUAUAAUAUUACAAUAAGUUUAUUAUUAUUGGUUUAAGUGUAAUAGUUUUUGUCAUUCAAUAUUUUUUAUACA